CUACGGGUGGCAGCAGUGAGGAAUAUUGCACAAUGGGGGGAACCCUGAUGCAGCAACGCCGCGUGGAGGAUGACGCAUUUCGGUGUGUAAACUCCUUUUAUAUGUCAAGAAAAUGACGGUAGCAUAUGAAUAAGCACCGGCUAACUCCGUGCCAGCAGCCGCGGUAAUACGGAGGGUGCAAGCGUUACUCGGAAUCACUGGGCGUAAAGGACGCGUAGGCGGGUUGGAAAGUCAGGUGUGAAAUCCUACAGCUUAACUGUAGAACUGAACUUGAAACUUCUAAUCUAGAGUAUGGGAGGGGGAGAUGGAAUUAGUGGUGUAGGGGUAAAAUCCGUAGAUAUCACUAGGAAUACCUAAAGCGAAGGCGAUCUCCUGGAACAUUACUGACGCUAAGGCGUGAAAGCGUGGGGAGCAAACAGGAUUAGAUACCCGUGUAGUC
rnacentral:rRNA from 1 species